GGUUUCAUGGUCUAGUGGUUAGGACUUUCGGUUUUGAUUAAUUCUAAUAAUUGAAACUUCCGAACAGCCUGGGUUCGAACCCCAGUGAGACCU